rnacentral:tRNA from 1 species
GGUAGCAUGGCCGAGCGGUUAAGGCGCCAGAUUGUGACUCUGGUCACGAGAGUGUCGAGGGUUCGAAUCCCUCUGCUACCA